UCUGGGCAUGGUGGCACACACCUGAGGUCCCAGCUACUUGGAAGGCUGACAUUGAGACUUGAGCCCAAAAGUUCUGGGCUGUAGUACACUAUGCCUAUUGGGUGUCUGCACUAAGUUCAGCAUCAAUAUAGUGACCUCGCUGGAGCAAGGGCCACCAGAUUGCUUAAGGAGGGCUGAACCAGCCCAAAUUGGACACCUAGCAGUUCAAAAUUCCUAUGCUGAUCAGUAGUGAGUCCCACCUGUGAAUAACUACUGCACUCCAGCCUGGGCAACAUAGUAAGACCUUGUCUCU
rnacentral:SRP_RNA from 1 species